GAAUAAAAAGCGAAUUAUUGCAAUCAGUUUCGACCUGAAAAUUUGGUAUUUAAAUUUACCUUUAUUCU
rnacentral:tRNA from 3 species